rnacentral:lncRNA from 1 species
AUUCGAUGGAACCAUCAUGAGAUGGGGGACAUCUUCCGAUGGGUUGAGCAGGUGGAGGCGGACAUCAUGGAAUUGUUGUUAAGGGAGGAUCGGGAGGGGGGUCUCCGAGAGCCGGCUUUGCAGGAGCUUCGGGGCAAGCUCUCGGAGCACUACUCUCUGUUGAGGCAAUAGGAGACUUUUUGGAGGCAGAAGUCAAAGGUUUAGUGG